UCGUUGCAAUAUUUCAUACUGCGGUAACACUUGUUCUGCUGAGUAUUUGUACCUUUGUGAAUUUACAAUAUUUUUGUUAGGUUUAUUAUAGUCUUCAGAUCAUAUACGUGCCUCUUCUCCAUAUAGUAUAUUGAUUUAUUCAGUUUAGUUUCAGUAUUUCUUUAAGGAUUAUUUAGUUAAAUGAAUAGUUGUGUGAUUAGCAUGUGGAAUGGAUUGUAAAGUUAGAUGGGAGGGUGUAGAUUAAAAAGGUUUAAUAAGGGCAUGGAUUUAAUAUGUGAUGUGAUGUAACCAAAGCAUAAAUAGUCUUGUAAGACUAUUUUGUAUGCAGUUCUUAUUCUUUGCAGUUUUCUCCAAACGCAAUAUAUAUUAUUCCAGCCUAGAUCUAGACUAUUGUAGCCUAAUUUGCAUCAGGAUCAAAUAAUAGUACUUGAUAGUGUGUUUAUUUUCUGUUUUCCUGUAGAGAAGUGGUGAACAUAAAAUGCAUUACUGUCAGUGUGGGCACUGGGGUUAGGAAUUGCAAGACUGCUAAAACUCUUUAGAUAGCAGCUCCUUCCUUUUCAAACAUGAUAUCCGUUUUUUAUCCCGUUGAAAUAUGAUAACUUUAGACCUUUCACUAAAUUAUGUUAUUUGUGUUAUGGCCCUAGCAGUUUUUACACUAGAAUGGAACAUUUAAAACUUUUGUUUCCCCUAAACCAGUAGCUACAAAAUUUUCAAGUGUUUGUCUUAAAAGCUAUUAUGUUAGAUAUUUGUGUAUAUGAGAAGCACAAUCCUUGUCCAAAUAAAUAUUCAAUUUUUAUGCUCUUUAGCUAUUUUACCGGAAUUUCAUGUGAAAAGCUAUUAAGUGUCCACAGUUGAUGGACAUUUUUGAAUAAGCCAUAAAAAAUAAUGAGUUCUAGUUGCACUUUCUUUAGAUCUUUUUCGACUCAGUAUUUCUCGGAGUAUUUAUUGUAUUCUAUGUCCUGAAACUUAAAUUGGCUUUUGUAGGGUGAUGAUGGUGGCAAUAGUGA
rnacentral:misc_RNA from 1 species